rnacentral:rRNA from 1 species
CAAUAGCGUAUAUUAAAGUUGUUGCAGUUAAAAAGCUCGUAGUUGGAUUUCUGGUGAGAUGGAUUAUGUCUAGGUCGAAAGAUCUUGUUCAUGGUUCGUUUCGCCCUUCUUGUCAGGAACCCGCUGAGAUUCGCGUCUUGUCGGUGGAAUGGCAUCGUUUACUGUGAAAAAAUUAGAGUGUUCAAAGCAGGCAUCGCCGUUGAAUACAUUAGCAUGGAAUAAUAAGAUAAGACUUUGGUGGUCUAUUUUGUUGGUUUGCACGCCAAAGUAAUGAUUAAUAGGGAUAGUUGGGGGUAUUCGUAUUCUACUGCUAGAGGUGAAAUUCUUAAAUUUAUGGAAGACGAACUACUGCGAAAGCAUUUACCAAGGAUGUUUUCAUUAA